UUACUGACUAACGUAUGGUGCUCAUUAC
rnacentral:piRNA from 1 species